rnacentral:rRNA from 1 species
ACUCAAAUGAAUAGACGGGGACCCGCACAAGUAGGGGAACGUGUGGUUUAAUUCGAGACAAAACGAAGAACCUCACCAGGGUUUGAAAUGUAUGUUUUAGGAUCCUGAAAGGGAAACGAACCGCAAGGUAGCAUACACAGGUGCUGCAUGGCUGUCGUCAGCUCGUGUCGUGAGAUGUCGCCUUAAGUGGCUCAACGAGCGCAACCCUCAUCAUUAGUUGUAUCACUCUAGUGAAACUGCCCCGCGAUGUGAGUUUCUGAAUAAUCAGGAACUUAGAUCGCGGGGAGGAAGGCGAGGACGACGUCAAGUCAUCAUAGCCCUUAUGUCCUGGGCUACACACACGUUACAAUGCGCAACACAAUGGGCUGCAAAGCCGCGAGGUGGAGCUAAUCCCCAAAGUUGCGCUCAGUUCAGAUUGCAGUCUGCAACUCGACUGCAUGAAGAUGGACUUACUAGUAAUCGCAGGUCAGCAUACUGCGGUGAAUACGUUCUCGGGUCUUGCACACACCGCCCGU